CCCUUAGAUGUUCUGGGCCGCACGCGUGCUACACUGAGUGGAUCAGCGGGUCAGGUUGCGCGAAAGCGUUUCCUAAUCUUUAAAUCCGCUCGUGAUGGGGAUUGACGGUUGCAAUUUUCUGUCAUGAACGAGGAAUACCUUGUAAGCGCGGGUCAUCAUCCCGCGCUGAAUACGUCCCUGCCCUUUGUACACACCGCCCGUCGCUCCUACCGAUUGAGUGGUCCGGUGAGGCUUUGGGAUCUGAGCGGAAAGAGCGUUUCGCUGUUUCUGCUCGGAAAACUCAGUCGAACCUUAUCAUUUAGAGGAACGAGAAGUCGUAACA
rnacentral:rRNA from 1 species